CAGAGCUCUGCUGGGGACAAAGAAGGAAGAACAGGCCAUCCAUCCACCAGGUCCCAGAGAAGCUGAAUGAUCCAUCGGUGCCGGACUGGGUUGGUUCGGCUUGGUUGCCGAGGGCAGUGCUAGGAACAGGAAGAAGGGGCAGAGAGGCCAAGCUGAGUUUCGAUGCAAACUUCUAGGGGCCAUCUGAAGCAAGCCCUUCGUGCCUGGCUUCGCCCAGAAGCAACAGAUGAUGUCCCAUCAUCCCUCAUAACUAAAGGGGUGAAGGAGGGAUGAAUAUAUGAGAUACUGUGGAGGACAGAAGCCACUAGAUCUGGCAAUGACUGGGGGUGAGACUGAGAACCAGAGGAUGGCACGAAACGGGAAAACACCAAUUAAGUGCUUAUCGUGUGCCCAACACUGGGCUGAGUUCUGGAGAUACGGACAGUCCUUGCUCUGGAGAAGCGCCCGUUCUGACAAGGGAAGACUCUGCCACAGGACAGAGGGAAGAGCAAGUGAGUGCUCCAAACAGCAGACCAAACAUCAAGGCCAUUGGCAGGGUCGUAGGAUUCUACACAGCAGGGUGUGUAAGGCUCAUCAGCACCUUGCCAGAAGGGCGAGAGAUGGUGACUCCUUGCUCACCCGGGCAGUGUGGGCAAGACAUCUGACGAUGGGCCCCAGCAGAUCUCCCAACGCACCCGGUGCCCCUCAGGUCACCAAAGUGAAAGGGAGGGGCGCGGAUGUUCAUGGGAAGGGCAGGCCAAUAGAAAAAAACCUGCUCAACUUGUGGUAAGCAACCAGAGUUCAAACACCUGAGAGUUUCCAGAAUGCCUCACCCUCUCCUUUAUUUCCCAAUUUCUUUGCCUGGGGAUAGGACGAGCUGGGCUGCUCAGCACUCAGACCCAUCUGAAACGCUUCUUCCCUGAGAGUUAAUGUCUGGGCCAAGCAUGAAGUAUAGAGACUGGGGGGGACAGGAGCUCUGCCUCUGACAUGGCGAGUCCGAUGUGCCCUUGGCUCAUCCAGGAGCAGAAAUCCAGGAGCAGCUGGCUGGUGAAGCCUAUGGGAGCUCGGGAGAGAAACAGAGGCUGGAUCUAGAAAUCAAGGAGUCACCGACAAGAGAAGACAACCGUACCCAGAGUCACUGCCACCAAGAAGAAGCUUGUUGUAGGCCAUUUCCCAAAGACUGCUCCAACUGGCUCUCCGAUUCAAUCCUGAGCUUAGCUCACGUCCCGUCGGCCCUGCCCCAGGCCCGUCAUCCGACUGCCUGUGACAGAGUAGACACCGGCCACUCUUCUAGGCGUUUACCCAUCUCAUCCAGAAAUGCGUUUCCUGUCUUGGGGCAAUCGGCACACUCUCCUUCACAAACAGGAGCACCUGCAGGAACCUGGCCUGGAAGAACUUCUGGGACAGUGGCACAGCCUUAGAACAAAUUCUAGUGCCUUUCCUCAUUUGCCUAACCUGCAAGCAAUACUGAAGAGGUCAAGGCUGUCUCUGCUGUUACAACUUUAAAGGGAUCACUGGUGGUUGUGACACAUACAAGGAAGGCAGUCUGUUACAAGAGGGCCCUCACCUGGUGUCUGCCCCUCAGAAUAGGAGCCCCUUAAGAGCAGGGACGUUUUGGGACUUUUUCUCUGAAUCCUCAGCACUUUGCACAUACGUAAACGCCUGACGACCGGGCGACUAAAUAAAACGCUUUUUUAUCGUCAGCAAUUGAUAAGAACCUGAGGAACUUGUAUUCUCUACUCCUUCCAGGGAAUCACGACUGUAAAGAUGUAGCCUGCGGUGGGGCCCCGGCGCCUCUGGGACCUAACAGAAAAGUCUGCUUCAUAACUUAGCCCCUUCUACCUGUGGGGUCUUUUUAUACCUUCCACCCCAACGUGUGCCCUCUGAUCCAGUGACACUGGCCUACUGGCUGGUCCAUUGCUUGGCUCUGGGCAUUUUUACUGGCUGUCUCCCACGCCUGGAAUGAUUUCUCUCCUCACUUCCUCCUCCCGGCUUCUCUGGUAUCCUGCAAGUCUCAGCUAAAAUCCCACCACCCACAGGAAGCCUUCCCCAACUCCUCUUAAUUCUAGUGCCUUUCCUCUCUUCACGAUUUCCUAUUUACCCCUUAUAAAGUUUGUUUGUAUAUAUUUGGUCGUCAUCUCCCCGCUAGAUUGGGAGCCCCUUGAGAGCAGGGACUGUCUUUUACUUCAUUUUGCAUUCUUAGAGCUUAGCACAGUGCCGGGCACAUGGUACACACUCAAUAAAGGCUUACCGACUAAGCUAACCUGAGAUUAGACCUCUAACUGGAUAGGUCAUCAGGAAUCAAGGCCAGAGAUUGGGGAGGAAGGUCACCCAAGCAUACUUUCCUGGAGCUCCCAGUGAAUACAACCAAACUCUGGGGACAGUGACGGUGGCCACACAAUGCAGAGUCUUGAUGCUGGGUCCACAUGAGGCGACGAAAGAAAAGAAAGACGAGAGGCCCGGAUGAGCGCGCCAGCCCUGUAAGGUAAUCCCUUGAAGUCCUGAGCUGUUAGUUCUGACUCCUCUCCUGGAGAAGUCAGUGGUGGAAAAAGAAAAGGCCGGCCAACAAAAGAGCACCGAGCUUUCAAAAGUUAUCUCGGGAAAACAGGAGCCAGCAUGGGAUGGGGUGCGAAAACACUUAGGAAAGCUAGGCCAGUACCUGGUGGGAGGAGAAGUGGGGAGCACAAAGGGGAAAGCACCACUUUUUUAGUGGAAAAAACCACAGGAAUGAAUAAGAAAACAUCUCAUCUGGAUGAAACAAGAGAGCUUCAGCAGAGCAGGGACAUCCAGCUUAAUGGUUUGGUCUAACAGGUGGGGAACCUGGGGCCUCGAGGCCACAUGUGGCCCUCUUGGUCCUCAAGUGCAGCCCUCUGCCUGAAUCCCAGCUUCACAGAACUGUCCCAUCUCUGAUGGGAGAUCCCUCAACCUACGUGAACUCUGACUAGUCUCGCCCUGCUGAACCACAGAUCCUCCUCUAUAAAACGGAGGGUCUGGACGGGGAUCACCUAUUACCAGGAGACCCUGGUCCUUGUUCUGUUUCUGCUACAAGUGAUCUGAUCUUGUAUCACUGCGAUCCUCUCCGGGCCUCAUCCGUAAAAUGAGAGGAGGGAAGGCAAUGUUCACGUUUGAUGUUUUUUGAAGUUGUAAUAAAAAAGGAAAAAUUAAAAUAAGUAAAUAAAAUGAGGGAUUGGAUUAGAAAAUAGCUCCAAAAUUCAAUGAAGCCACGUCAUGACCCAUGAUGUAGGAAGCGUGGGUAGAAACGUUUUUCCAGCUUGGAAAUCUGAUUCCAUGUAAUAUUUGAUGCCACUUCUUUUCUACGAUCUAGAGAAAUUAUGAGGCUGGCACGGGCCUAACCACAAAGAGGGGGAGGGGCUCACACCCUUGUCCGAUGGACCCAUCGGCUCCCUCUCCCAGAAUCCUAAGAGCUGGAAGACACCUUUGAGCUCUUUCAGGAGGGCAUGAGCCCCUCGGACCUUCGGCAAUCUCCCUGUCAGGAAGUCACAGAGCCUCUGCUUCGAGGCCUCCCCUGGAAGAUCGCGACUCCACAAACCAGCCCAUUCUAGCUGCGGACAGCUCCAUUAAGGAAGUGUGUCCUCACAGGAGCAAUCAAUCUGUCGCCUUUAUCUGCCACCCACUCGCCCUGCGGCCCUGUCCCCUGGGGCCCAAGCAGAACUAGGCCAACAAGACUAAACGUCCCUUCCAAUGUGCAGUUCACAGCCGGCCUCCAUCCAAGUCUACUCUUUAACAGCUUUGUCAGUGAGCUGCUUAAGGGGCUUUCUCGUGAAUCCCAAAGGGCAGAAUGAGGAGCAAGGGAAGAGUUGCCUAGACAGAGGAUUUCACCCAAACCUUCAAAAGCUCCUGCCAAGAGCAGAAAACGCCAGCCCCUUGAGGACUUCCACAACCUCACUCCAAACUACUUUCCCAGGGCUCCCCUCCAUGCACCAUGUUCCAGCCAACCUGGUUGACCAUCUUCCGCCGCCCUGGAUUUAGACAGGCACGUCCCCCACACCUCCUCCAAGGCUCAGCUGUGGGGCCAAUUCCCUAGAAAGUCUCGCUUGACCCAACCAUUAAACAUUCUCUCUACCGCAUACACUUUCAAACUUAGUUGCUCUAUGAGUUACUUUUGCUGAACUGCUUCCCUCCCCCCACCCCCAUGUUUUAUUCUUUGCUAAGAGGGAUGGUUCUGGGUGGGGGAGGGACAUACUGGUCCCUUUGAUGUCACUGAUGUAAAAGUCAAAGAUAGCGACAAAAAGCUUUGAAAAACAAAGUUCCCCUCCCCCAACGUUCUAGAGCAUCGUCUAGGCUCUCCUUUGCUCCUGUUAUACCCGACUUUGUAUUCUGCUUAUUUGCGUGUGUGACGCAUCCCCACUGAGUAAGCCACAGGCACCUUCAGGCAGGGACUAUGUCAUUUUUCAUCUUUAGAUGCCCAGCACCAAAUACUGUGACUCCGCACAUAGGAGGCAUUAAAUAAACAGUUCUCAAAUUUAA